rnacentral:rRNA from 1 species
GACGAACGCUGGCGGCGUGCCUAAUGCAUGCAAGUCGAACGGAGAGAACUUCGGUUCUCUCAGUGGCGCACGGCUGAGGAACACGUGGGUUAUCUGCCCUGGUGUGGGGGAUAACAGGUCGAAAGGUCUGCUAAUCCCGCAUACGGUCUGCACAAGCAGAAGAAAGCCUUCGGGCGCACCAGGAGGAGCCUGCGGCCCAUCAGGUAGCUGGUAGGGUAAGAGCCUACCAAGGCCAAUGACGGGUACCUGGUCUGAGAGGAUGAUCAGGCAGAUUGGGACUGAGACACGGCCCAGACUCCUACGGGAGGCAGCAGCAAGGAAUUUUCCGCUAAUGGGCGCAAGCCUGACGGAGCAACGCCGCGUGCAGGAGGAAGGCUUUCGGGUUGUAAACUGCUUUUGUUGGGGACGANNCGGACGGUACCCAACGAAUAAGCCCCGGCUAACUCCGUGCCAGCAGCCGCGGUAAUACGGAGGGGGCAAGCGUUGUCCGGACUUACUGGGCGUAAAGCGCACGUAGGCGGUCUGGUGCGUCGGUACUGAAAGUGCCCGGCUUAACCGGGCAAGGUGUACCGAUACGACCAGGCUUGAGGCAGUAAGAGGUUGGCGGAAUUCCGGGUGUAGUGGUGAAAUGCGUAGAGAUCCGGAGGAACGCCUGUGGCGAAAGCGGCCAACUGGUGCUGACCUGACGCUGAGGUGCGAAAGCGUGGGGAGCGAACCGGAUUAGAUACCCGGGUAGUCCACGCUAUAAACGAUGUCGGCUCGGUGUUCGGNGGUGUGCAACCAUCCCUGAGUGCCCAAGUUUACACGGUAGGUCGACCGUCUGGGGACUACGAGCGCAGCUUAAAACUCAAAGGAAUUGACGGGGCCCGCACAAGCAGCGGAGCGUGUGGUUUAAUUCGACGCAACACGAAGAACCUUACCCAGGUUUGACAUGAUCCUGCAAGCCCACGGAGACGUGGGACCUGAGAGGGUGGAUCACAGGUGCUGCAUGGCUGUCGUCAGCUCGUGUCGUGAGAUGUUGGGUUAAGUCCCGCAACGAGCGCAACCCUUGCUGCCAGUUACCAGUGUCUGGCGGGACAGCCGUCUGAAGAGACGGAGGAAGGCGGGGAUGACGUCAAGUCCGCAUGGCCCUUACGCCUGGGGCGACACACACGCUACAAUGGCCGGGACAGUGCGUUGCGAACCUGCAAAGGUGAGCUAAUCGCGAAACCCGGUCCCAGUGCAGAUCGGGGGCUGCAACUCGCCCCCGUGAAGGAGGAGUUGCUAGUAACCGCGUAUCAGCCAUGGCGCGGUGAAUACGUGCCCGGGCCUUGUACACACCGCCCGUCACGUCAUGGGAGUCGGCAGUGCCUGAAGUCCGUGGGCUAACCCGCAAGGGAGGAGCGGCCGAGGGCAGGGCUGGCGACUGGGACG